rnacentral:rRNA from 1 species
CCUACGGGUGGCAGCAGUAAGGAAUAUUGGUCAAUGGACGCAAGUCUGAACCAGCCAUGCCGCGUGGAGGAUGAAGGUCCUCUGGAUUGUAAACUUCUUUUAUCUGGGACGAAAUCCACUAUUCUUAGUGGUCUGACGGUACCAGAGGAAUAAGCACCGGCUAACUCCGUGCCAGCAGCCGCGGUAAUACGGAGGGUGCAAGCGUUAUCCGGAUUCACUGGGUUUAAAGGGAGCGUAGGUGGGACCGUAAGUCAGUGGUGAAAUCUCCAGGCUUA